GGCCCCAUCGUCUAGCCUGGUCCAGGACACCAGAUUUUCAAUCUGGCGACACGGGUUCAAAUCCCGUUGGGGCUA
rnacentral:tRNA from 1 species